rnacentral:lncRNA from 1 species
GGCCGGGCCUGGGCUGGGCAGGGCUGGGCUGGUCCGCGCGGGUCGGAGCGGGUCUGGGGGAGGGGGCUGCGCCGGGAGCCCGCCGUCCGGCCGCGCGCGCGCAUGGCCCUGGUCACAGUGAGCCGGUCCCCCUCGGCCAGCGGCCGCUCCGCCCCCGUGGGCCCCGCGGAUGAAGGGCCGAGCCGGAGGCGGAGCCAGCUGCAGCGCAGGCAGAGCUUUGCGGUGCUUCGGGGGGCCGUCCUGGGGCUCCAAGACAGGGGGGAGCCCAGGCCCAGGGAUCCGGACAGGUCCGACGGGGAGGAUGAACCAGAAGAGGAGGAGCCUCCCUCAGACCGGCCAGAUGGAAGCUGCCCCGGGACCCCGGAGUCGUCGCCCCGGGGAAGCAGGAGCAGCGGCGGCAUCUGCACCUCAUGGUGGGGCUGCUGAGGUCCCAGGACAACAUCCAGCUGGCUGUCCAGUUGGAGCCCACGCGGCCUCAGUGGCUCAGGUA